UCUCGGUUCUUCCUCCCCAACCCUCUCUGAUCCUUCUUUCUCUCAGUGCUCGAUGUCGAAGGCGACCUCUUUUCUUCCUCAGUCCUCACCACCAAUUUCCGACUUCAUAACGUCGUCUCUGAUAAUUGACACCGCCAAGAUCGAACCCCAAAAUAAUUGCCUUCUUUUUCUCGCACAAAAACAACAUACGACAGGUUCAAUUAGACUACAGGUUGUUCUUCUUUUAUCUUUAAUUCGAAAUUUGGUUUUCAAAUUUGUGCCCUAUUUAUAUCAAACAUGUAGUUACCCGUUCAAACUAAUCGAAACAUUCUACCAUUUACAUCCAAUUUCUGCCCUGAUGAUCAACCAUGUAGUUACACAUUCAAAUUAAUCAACAAAUUCUACCAAGCAUUCUAUCAGACCUCCACAAAAAAAAAAAAACAUUUCCUGAUUUGAAUUGGGGACCCAAAUUCCCGAAUUCCAGUCUUCACCAAAUCUGCAAGAUUAAGCAUUCUUUCUCCUUUAAGCAUUUGUUCUCCCCAAAUUAAAGUUCUCCAACUAAGAGUCAUUUAGGUUGCAGUUCAACGAAAUGAAGCAAGGGUAAGACGCCUUGGAAAGGUGGACACUAUUGUGCUUGGACGGAUAGAGUUUCAUGCGCACAAUUUAAGAUAUGACAGGUUCAUUUUUGUUCUCUUAUGAACUAUGUUAUGUCCAAUUGAUUUUCCUUAGUUUCAGUUACUAAUUUCGCAAAUGAACUUUGAUUUUUAAUUUCCUUAUGUGCAAAUGCUAUAGAAGUGUGAGCUUGAAGUAGAAUAUCAGGGCAUAGAGACAUCAGUGAGUGGUAGCUAGAGCUAGAUUAAAUUCCAAGGCUUAAGCUUAGAGGUUUUUAUGGUUUUGGUAAUUUUAGUUCAGUUUUGGGUUUCAUUUGAAGCAAGAGUGGAUGAUAAUGGAGGGUCGGCUCCGUCGUAGUCCUACAUUGAAAUCCAUCAUUGUCAAACCCCUGACAAUGAUAGUUAGGUAUAUCCCAUCUAGGUUAACAACCCAUUUGAUGCGUAGUUUAAUUAUGAUCCUUUUGUUCCGUUUUAGCAUCCUUAUUUCCGAAAUUCAAUGUGGGUUUAUGCAGACUAUGACAUGGAUUUUGAAUGAGUUGUGGAAAUUUCAUGGUUGCUCUUCGGUUAUUGUUACAGGAAGGCCAUGUAAUUACUCAUACAAGACUGUUAUCUAUUUUUUUGCUCAUAAAUCUUAACCUAUUUUUGUGUUUGAAGCUGUGGGAGCUCGGUGGAUCACUAGGUAGUUAGAUAAGCUGCAAUAGUAAUCAGUUCAAUGACUGAGUUUUUUCUCUCAAGAAGAAAUUUCAUUUUACUUCAAGUAUUGAUCUUCUGUAGUCUCUUUCUUUUGGAGGUUCCAGGGAGCUAUUACCGGGGUCCAAACUUAUGUGUGGAAGUGGUUUCUGGGGAUGGUUGUCAAAAAAUGAAGGGGAUGAUGGAGAGGGAUUAGUUUGAGUUUGGGCCUCUGGAUAAGCGUCGUGGUUAGUUUCUAUGUUGCUGUUGUUGCACGCGGAGGAUGUAAUUGAUGUAUUCACUGAAUAACCAGCCAAUCUUAGGUCAUUGUAAGCGGGGCCUUUUGAUGUUUUAGCAUUUUAACGUAAUCGUAAUCUGUAGAUGAGAUUUUCACCGUGAAAUAAAUACUAGAGCUAGAGUUUGUUCAUAUUAUAAUUUA